GCCGUCUUAGCUCAGUGGUAGAGCAGCUGUUUUGUAAACAGCAGGUCGUGGGUUCAAAUCCGACAGACGGCU
rnacentral:tRNA from 1 species